AAAAAAAAAAGGUAUCAAUAUAUUCUAAAAAAUUAUACAGAUUUUUGUUGAAAAUAUUAAUAUGAUAUUUAAUUUUAUAGUAAGUUAUUCUUGAACACGUCUUCGAUGAGGCCUUGCAACUCACAUAUAUAGCGAAUUUAGUUUUAACAAAAUAAAAAAACUUUGAUUAAAAUAAUUAUAAGAUAUUAAUAUUUUUUGAAAUAUAAAAUAUAUUUUCAUUAGAUUCUUUAUAAUGUUGAAACUAAAUAAUAUAUGACAUGUUUUUUAUUUAAUCAUAUAAUAAUAAAUUUCGGCGACGCCUGGCACCUUAUUUAUACCAUAGAUUUAAUUUUAGCUAAGGUACUUUGAUUAAAAUAAAAUAUGAUAUAUUUUUAACAAAUAAAAAUACACACUAAUUUUCUAAAAUUUUAAUUUUUGUGGAACCUCUAUGCAUUUAUCAAAAUUCAAGAACACUCUGCUAAACUUGAAAUUCAUAAAUAAAAUUUUUGUUAAAUAGUUCUACUCUAACAACUAUUAGUAUCAUUAAUAUAAUAACAUGUACCUUAUUUACUACCUUAUCAAGACCAAGAAAAAUUAGCAAAAAAAUAAUUGAUACAUUUAUAAAUAUUAUAUAUCAAUAUUUUAACAAUAAUUAACAAAGUAGAGUGCGAACUGAUGUUAGCGGGCAUAAUUUUUAAAAUUUCGCCUGUAAAUGAAACAAAAAAAAGGGAGAAACACAUCAACAUAUGUUUUGAUCGGUGUAUACCGAAGAAUAUUAUGACAAAUUAUCUUUUAUCCCUAAGAUAUAAGAUGAACAAAUCUUACAAAAGAUAAGUCCAUAUCAUUUAUACUAAAAAGAAAAAACUAUAAAAAAUAAUAUAAAUUAAUUGAUAAAACUUAUAAGUACACCUAAAACAUUUAGGAGAGAGCUAAUAACAGAUGAUACAUCCUAAUAAUUGCUAUGUAAAUGCUACUUGACACGCAAAACCAAAAAAAAUUCAGUAAAGAAGGAUCAUAUGUAUCCUUUCAUCAUUUUCUAUUUCUCAAGCAAUGGCAUUUCCAGCAGACUACCAGGACAAUGACUGGGUCUGUUUUCUUUCUCGGCUUCCUGGUUUACAAAAGGCUCUCAAUUUACCAGGUUUCCUCUCUUGCAGGCAGCUUGAUUCCAUUUGUAUAACAGUCCAGAGAGAGAACCUAAAACAGCAUGUUCCAGAAUAGUUUUGAUCAAGUCAGAGGCGUGCAACAUACUUCCUAAUAAAUACUAUACCCAGAGAUAAAUAGCUUUAGCACAAUAUCCAAAUAUGAUGGCAGAACUCAAUAGCGAUAUCACGGACAUUGUAAUAGGACAUUAUAUGUGAGUCUAUGCAUAAACAAAAAUACAACUAUAGGCAUGUAAGGCUUUGUAACUAUGUGUACACACAUUAACUAAUUAACUCUCUAUAAUGAAUAUUGCUUACCUGAAAAGAAAGGUAAAUAAGUACAUAUAUUAAAAAGAUACAGAGCCUUUACACUGUCCCCUGCUAUUGAAAGUUGAUUUUUGUAAGUUCUCAAACUUCUUUAAUUAACAUUUUGCAUUUCAGGCCAUAGUAACAUAUACAAUGUUGUCUUUUUCAAGAUCUUCGAAACAUGUCUCAACCUCAUCGCUAAUCCAAAAUUAACUUGACGUUCUUCGCUAUACAAAGGCCAGAUGAAGCCUCCUAUAUGGAUGAAUAUCCUCUUGUACAUUGCUAGUAAUAUCGGCAUCCCAGAUCCUGUUCCUUGUGUUUGCAGGAUACAUUAAAUCCUAAAUUUAUUUGCAAAAGGUAGUGAUAUGCAUAAUGAUUAAUUUUUACUUUAAAAUUUAAAUGAGUAAUAAACUGAUCUGGGCAGUAUCUUUUUAGAUAUCUGAUAGGGCAUGUCAUAUAUGUAGAUAUCUAAUAACAUAACAUGUCCACAAUCUUUUAGCAGUACAUAAAUUAAAUAUAAGUCUAUUUUGGAUGGUAUAGAAUUUUAACCCAGAAUUGGUUGUGCAUUAGUUGUUCAAUAGAUGCACCUAUCCAUCUGUAAAAGCUUAAUCAUAGGUUCGCUUUUUAUGCACUUGUGAAAAGAAUGGUUCAGAACUAAUGCAAGGAAAAAGGCUGAGAUUAUAAGUACAGAAAAUUCCGAAGUUAACUCACCAGAGUCCCGAUAUGUAUCACAUUUAAGGCAAAUGUCAAACUCAUUAAUGUAACUUUCACCUUGGAAAAAUUAAGAUUUAAAUUAUUAACGGUUUAUUCAGGUUAUAUAUAAGAGAGAUUACUUAAGUUGUAUUAGAUGUUGGUCGAAGGAUUCUAUAACAUGGACCCUCUGGCUAAAACUGCAGAACCCGAAAACAUAGACAACAAAAUGGCAUUCCUGAAUAUCUAAAUAAAAUUUACCUUGUCUUGCAUUAGAUUAAGAAGAGCUUUCCUAUUUCGGAGCCUCCUUGCUGAAGGAAUGCCCUGGAUAUCCAUAACAUAAACGAUGUAAGCACGUCUAAAACUUGAUUUCUUGGAAAACAUAAUUCAGUUACUAUCUCAAGCUUGUAGUCUUAAAAAGUUCCAUAAUCAAACAUGUUUCUUAGAAAAGAACAUCCUCCUACCCGAAAUUAGAAUUUCAGAAAGCCAGGAUCAUAAACUGAAUGAACAGGACAACUGAAUAAAAAAAUUCCAUAUCUAUAUAAUACAUAUAUUUGCCUGAAAACUACAGAAAUAGAAUAUCAAUAAAUGCUCAAUAUAUGCACUUUUGAGAGUUCCAAAAUAUACUUAUGAAAGGGACACAUAUAAAAAGAAGAUAACACUCUUGAUCAAAAUGCAAAAAGUAAUAUCUUACAGGAUUAUAAUUCUUUUAUAUUAAUUACCCAACCAGGUGAUAGGUUGAUGAUGACGAUAAUCAUAAUAUACCUGAUACAAUAAAACUCUCAAAAAAAUUUGGCAGCAAAAUUCGAAAAGAAACAUAAUCCUGUAAGAUAUUAAAAUCUGAAUGUCAAAUCCAAAAUCGAUAUUUCAUAUAUGGAUUGCCACACAUAACUGACCUGGUAUUGCAGAUUGUGUACUAAUACUUGUUAAAGGAAUAUACAUUUUAGUUGCAUGAGAGUGAAUUACAAAGAUGAGUAAUCAUUAUCCAUCGAGUUGUUAGUGUACUAAUACCUGCCGAAUUAGUGCAAACAGGGCCUCUUGUGAAGGAGUUUUCGCUUCGGUUCUGCCUGAGAUCACAAAAGGCUAAACUCAUAUCUGUCACCUAACAUCCUUACUCGAAUCUCACUGAAAUAAUCUUCUGCAGCCCAACCAUCAUUAGAAAGCAAUAAGAGGCCAGUACAACCACAUCCAAGCAUGUUGUAAAACCAAACUCAUCUCUAGCGAUUAUCAAAUUCAAAAAAAUCAUUAACAUCCAUAAAAAAUAUCCUAAAAUAAAGCGGACACAUAAUAUCAUAUAUAUACACACCCUAUGUUAUAUGCACCACUAUAUGUUUAAUAUACAUCUAAAAAAAUAACAAUAAUGAUGCCAGCAAAUGAUGGUUCAACAGUAAAACUAAAUGUUUCAAUUGUUUUCAUCCAUGCUGCUUCAUCUUGAGUACACGGAUAUUAGUACCCAUCGCUGAAAGUACACCCACAAUAUCUAAGUGUAUCGAUGGACAAAUAUUUCAAAACUGCAAACCUGUAAGUUCCUAUCGCAUUAGUAAAGGCAUGUCAUUCAUCACCUAAUGGACCAUGGCCAACCCAAAGCGCUAAAAAAAUGUAAACAACACAAAGAACAAACAGUUUAGUUUAGGCAUUUUAACAAACACUUUUUGGCGUCUCACUCACUGAUACUUUCCCUUCAGAUGCCUGUAACAUCAACAAAAAAACACAUAGUCAAAAGAGAUGUUCAAAAACUAAUCCAUAGUUCUGUAUCACUACACAAAUCUUUCUCAAAUUCCUUGGACAUGAAAUCAACAAAAAUCUUGAUAAGAUAUAUAAAAUAGGAUGCGUAAGAGAUAUACCUCCAUAAUAACCAUUGUUGACAUGAAAGAGCCUGGAAUUUGAAUUUGAUAUCCAUUAACAUAACUGAAGCAUUUUUUUUAGAUCUGAAAGAGAAUGAGAGAAGAAAAUUAUGGAAGGGUAGAAAUACUAAAAAUAUUACCUUUCUCCAUCGGUAGAACGAUACAAUUAUACAAACAUGGAUGAAUGAAACCACAACAGAGUGAAAACUGAUGAGCAUAAUGUCAGCGCCAAAAAUCAUGGAUGCAGUUCCUGUAAUCAUGGAAUUUAACUGUCCAAUUUUGAAUUCACCGGAUACACGAUUACUAUGAUCAGUUCUGAUAUUUGUGUUUACCCGAAUGAAAACGGGUAAACCCGCGGCAGCAGUAAACAUAACUUUAUUCAAGUCGGGUAUGAUCCAUAUUGAAAUGGAUUAUCCAAGGUGCUUGGGAAUUUACUUGUAAACCCCCGGGCAGUACUGAUAAAAACAGGAAGGAAGGGCAGAAAGAGUAAUUUGACAGAUGCUUUGUAUUCACAAAUUAGGAUUAUAUAGAUAUAAAUAUAGAUAUAGAUAUAGAUAUUUCUUAUUAAUGUAUAAACUAUUAUAUUAUAUCUUUAGUUUAUUCUAUUUCUGUUUACAUAGGAUAUAAAUUUUAUUUGUGCUUUCAUUUAUUUAAAUAAAUAUAGUCGAAUAGAUUUAUUCACCAGGCAUCGAAAGCUGCAUAACGUGUUUAUGUGAAUAUAUUAAUAGACGGAUACCAUAAUAUAUACAUUUUAAACUUGGUUCAAGUAGAUCUCGCUAUAUGCUAAAAACAGUAGCAUGCAUGCAAGAUAACUAAUAAAUUAAGAUGCAUCAGUGCUGUUUACGUCGUCCUUAAUAUUUUAAAAAUGAAAUUUAAUAAACCUAAUUCAUUAUUGCUUUUUUUUUUUUUGACGAAAAGCAAAAAAUUUUAAUAGAUAAUUGAAACUCAGUCGAGACAAACCCUCGAACUGUCAAUUACAACCUGAUUAACAUAUAGCCGCUUUGUUUUCAGAUCGUUUAACAGAUAGAAUAUUUAAAUUCUUUAUACUAAAAAGAAUUACAAUCAAAGCUCGAACAAUCCAACCUAUAUGAGUUGUGAACAUAGUAGCAUCGCAAUUGACCUUCACAUAAGUAGCAGCAUCUGUAGCCCAAUGUUCAGAAUUAUCAGUUACAUCAACCGAUAUUGGAUCAACAAAUGACCCCAAAAGAUGAACAAUUUUAUGUCGUGAAAGGUGAGCUCUUACGAUAUUCACCACCGUGCCAUAUCUGAUACAAGCCUCACGGAUUACCCAAAAUAUCAUGUAACUCCUUAGAAACAUUACCGAGACCCAUAACAAAACACACAGAAACGUCAAAACAGACACAAACAUCUACGACCUUGAUGACAAGGUACUCAACAAGAACUCACCCAAAAGGAUUAGAUCUUGGUUUUAUUGAUAAAACUAAGAAAUACGAGAGAAGAUUGUAGAACGAAGAUGAUUAAUCAGGAGGGAUGAAGGAUGAAGAACGGAGCGGUGGGCGGAAAUAUUUGCAGUCGACUCUCAAAACUGCAAACCCUAAUUUUAGAACCCCUAAAAAUGUGAUUAUUAUCGUUUUUAUUAUUGCUUAUUUUAAUAAACUUAGAAUAGCAGAUGCUUGCAAAUUCCCUUUCAUCAUAUCCGUGGAUAAGAGCAUUAAGUGGGCAAGUCUACCUGCAACACUCAUGGAUAUACAAACACCCAGAAAAGUUCCCUCCUUCCUUAGUUAGGAGAUUGCUAAUCCAGUAACCAGUAUAUUGCCAUAUGUUGUAUAAAUUAUCAAAUUUAAAUUGCCAGCCACCGUACACCAGUCAUAACAAACUACUUUGUGAACCAACAUAACUUCUUAAAGGUAUCAUUAGUCAGCAGAUAAAUAGACAGGCAUACAUGUAUUUGUGAUUAUAAUAUACUGUUCAAUGACUCCUGGAUCAUCCAAGUACAAUGUAGAUUUUAAAAAUGUCAACAUUCACUCAUUCAGAUAUGAUUUAUCAUUUCUAUAAAGUGAGAAGUGACAGACGUUGAUCUAAGACAGGGAGUAUGUGAACACACACAAAAUUUCCCAGGAGUUCUUUUUAGGAUGUGAAGUUUCUGCUGCUUAUUGCCUUCAUUUGCAUCUCUCCGAUUAGUUGUAAUCUUAUGGUUUCACUUUUCUCAGGUUCUAAUAUAAUGAGAAUUGAGAACACGGAUAGCUCACCGAUUAUUGACCUGUUCUUCCAAAGUAAUGAUCUAUUUGCAAGCAUCCUCGCGACUGCAAAUUACUUGUUUUUACCCCAAUCUUGCAUUUCUUUGCCAGCGAUGAAGUUUCUCUGUCUUCCUGCUUACAAAAGUAAAAGGAGCUGAAUGAAACUAUAUACAAUAUAUGUUUGACAUGAAUAUGUUUGCUCCAGAAACAAGCUUAGAAGAAGAUUUUAGCUCCCAUUAACACAUAAGCUAAGACAAGUUUUAUGUCUAUUACAGUUAUGAUACAUAAACAGAAAUUGAAAUUCUAUAAAAUAAAAUAAAACGAAAAAGCGUAGUAAUGUAAAUUCUGAAAAGCUGCAAAGUAUUAUUCAGAAACUACAUUCGAAGUGCAAGAACCUAGACCAGUAUAAGUUCGAAACUACAACGUAAGGACAUACUUGAUUUAAAGAUCGCAGAACCUUGAUUUUGCCCCCUCUACCAUCAGCACCAACAGCAAUCAAAUUACCCGUGCUUGGACUUGAUCCUUGUACACCAGUUGAGGAUAGCACUGACCCCUUAUUUUGGCCUCGUCUGCACCACUUCCCUAGGUGCCAUUUGUUUCCAUCAGGACCUAUUAACCCGCCAGAGAAGCAGAUUUCUGUUUGUUGCUUAGAAGCUUCUGUGACAUUUAAAAAACAGUAACACUUGAAAUAUAUAUAUAUAGUUGAAUUGAUAUAUAUAAUUAACUAAAGGAAGAGAUCUCUUCUAAAAGGAAGAGUCUCCUCUUUAAAAGAAUUACUCCUUAUUCAGCAGAUAUAUAAUACCUGACUGGGACUCCAAAAGUUUUGACGAAGCAUCUUUUCUAAUAUUAAGCAAUGGCUGGUCAAGGGUACUAUCAUCAAAAAGUAGAAUCGAGUCGUCAUCUAUGCGGGGGAUUAGAGUCUCGCUCUUUUUACUGUGAAUACCACUCCUUGAGACUGUAUCACAGCCUUCUUUACUUAAUACCUGUGGUUUGACAUGGUAUUUAUUAUCAAAAGCAUUCCCUUCUGCUGAGUCUUUGUUGGCGGCUUUAGCCUUAGAGACUACAGGUGCUGAGACAAAGUUGAAAUCACGUGCCGAUGUAGAAAUUCUAGGCUCGUCAUCAUCUAUAACAACAUAGUUACUACUAUUUAUAACCUUCUCGUCGUAAGUUUGGAGAUCUUCUGUUCUGGGAGAGUAUAAAUUACUUGGCACACUAUCCAUUUUGCUCGUACUAAUCUUGGCAGCAGCACAUUCCUUAACUUGGUCCUUUGAAGAACAUCUAUUGAUGAAUGAGAAACUUGAAUCACGAUCCACACCAGCUGGAGCAUCCCUUACUAUAUUAGAUUCCUUGAGACCUCUCAGAGCUCUCAAAGCAUCAUUGUCUUUUGCUUCAAUAGCUGUCUCAAGUUCUUGGACCCUUGACUGAUAAAAGCAAAGAUUCUCUUAGACAUAUUAAACAUAUCAUACUCUCAAAAAUUAAUCUUUGCCUACUUACUUUCAAAUUUUGUAUCUUCUCUUUUGCCUUCUCCAGUUUUUUAAGAGAGCGGGCAUCUCCUCUACCAAGUGCAUUGCACUUUGCCAUUAGUUCUUUAUAACUCCUACAAAAUGACAUCUGGCUAUGAUAUAAUGAAAGCAGCAGAUAGUAAAAGUUCUGUAAGACUACAUACAAGAAAUACUACAAGGUUUACAUAAAACUGCAGAAGAUAACAGACAACCAACAAAAAUAUUGUAACAGCACAAUGGAGCAGCAGACGAGUGAAGACCGGAAACCAAACAGCUUACGGGGGUGUACAGUUGGGAUUUUAAUGGAUUAUAAUAAUCUAUGGAUUUUAAUGGAUUAUAUCUGAUUUUGAUUUUAUGCAGAGUCUAUUGGAGUAUAGGUGAAAUAUCAUAGAGUUGAUGUUGAGUCCUUGGGAUUUAAGCACAAUGCUUCAAACUCUCGUGUACUAUGAAGAGAUUUCAAAAGGCAUAAAAUACACUAAACAUUCCCACAAAAUCCAUCAUUUUAUGAAGACCAAAAAAAGCUAUCAGAUUUUAUUGAAUUUUUAAAAAUCCCAAUUGAAUACCAUCAAAUUAUUGAGCAUAAUUGAAAAUCUUGAUUAUAUACCACCAGCUUUUUUAGGAUAAUUUGAAAUUCUAAAUGAUUACCCCAAGAUUCUGAUAUAUUUUUUAAAAUCUGAGUUGAAUAAACUUGUAUUUCAUGAAUGAAAAAAAAUCCUUAAAAAUCUCAAUUGAAAACACCCCCUAAAUGUUUUUCCCAAAAUACUAUUUAAUAACUUUUAAUCUUUUGGCAAUAAAGGAAACUUGAGAAGUUCAAACAUUCGUCUUACUUUUAUUCUGAACAUUUUUAAUUGAUUAGAGUCCCAGUAUGUGCUUCGGCCAUAUUCAUGUAACCGUACUAAAACACAAGCAUCCUUGUAAAAACAAUACUAGCAGGAUGAACUAACUGAAGAUAUAUUCAAAAUAAGGUAGAUCAUGCAGCCUAUACCCACAUAGCUAGUAGUAAAUAAAUAAGGCUAAGCGCAACUGCAACUUAUACUUUAUGUCAAGUCAAGGACUAGUUCCCACAACCUUUUUCAAAUGUGUUAGUAUUCUAUAUGACCGAACAGUUAAGUAUCCUAAACCAAAAUCUUUGCAACUAAAACAUCUAGAGACAUGGUUAUGUUAAUAAUGUUCUUGUUGCCUGUCAUCUUACCUCAUUAUUCAUGCAGGAUGUAAAGUCGAGAGAAAGAAACAACAAUUAUCAAGCAGUUUAUCCACGUUUUAUAAAUCAUAAUGUGUUUUAGAAAAAUCAAAAACCACUCUGCCAUCAAACAUAAUCUCCUCUUUGAGAUGAAAACAGAAAAUAAAAAUGAGACUCUUCUUUUCAUCUCCUUAAGGGGAAGAUGAAUAAUCCCAUUAGUAGGAAAAUUGUGGGGGAGGGGGAGUUUAGAUCCACUUAUUACUAAUAUCUAUCAAACAUAAAGCAUACAAUUAUAUAUAUUUUAAGGCAAACAUUUGUGCAUGCUGAAUUCACGACAUUGUAGUAUAAGCAUACAGCCAAAUUAUAAUUUUGCUACAAAAUAUUGCUGACAUCCUGAAUUAAAAGAUUGAAACGAACGUUUAGAGCUGAUAAAGAAUCACAUACUUGUUGCGGAUGACCAGGGACCUCUUUAGGACAUCUAUUGUUUCUUUGUUGUUAGUCUCCUUUCCUAAAGAAGCAAGCUUCAAAACCUCUUCUUCAUCCAAAUUUAAAUCACACACCCUAAUCACAAAAAUAAUAACAUAUUUAGCAGGACAAGCAAAAAAUGAAUCAGAAACUAAAGCAGCUUGCUUCUGCCUUGUCAUGAUCCACUUACAAUUUGAGUGCAGCAAGCUCUUUGGCUAAUGCAAUGCUCCUUUCUUGCAGUCUCAUACACUCCAAGGUUGAUUUAUCAAGUUCCUGUGAUGCAAUUGGUAGUCAAAACUUAAAAACCUCUCACAAUUAGGAUACUGAUAUGUACAAUCAUGCACAGGUAUACACCUACGACUAACAAUUUGCCAAAAUUAGCCAAUUUAUUUAUGGAUGAGUGAACUUAUUAAUUACAUAUGUUUCUUUAUAAUAAAAGUUACUUCAGACAUGAAUGGAGGCAAGUACAAAGUUUGUGACCAUAUACCUUUGACUUUAAAUGAAGCAAUUGUUGAGUGACUGUUUUUUGCUUUAAAGCGUCAUCUUUCAUCGCUGCUUCUUUCUUCAACUCUUCCUUGCACAUAGACAGCUGUACAAUGUAGAGCCGGUUCAUAGUGAAUUGAGUAGGAUGCAGAUAUAAACUCAUAUAACUGCUCCCAUAUUCAUGGUUGCAUGAAGAAAAAGCAUUGACUCAACAUUUAUGCAAUAAUGUGCAAUCGUGAUCCUUCUGAAUAAUAUAGUGUCGCAUAUUAAAUUUCAAAUCAGCAUAACUUUCUGAAGGUACCAUUGACCGUGCAGAUGAUAGAAAAGCAUCAAAAUAUCUCAUUUCUUGUUAAGAGACUUCAAAUUUGCUUAAGACUUUAGAAAGCAAAUAACAUAACUAAUAGCUAUGACUAUCUACAUAACCAAUUACAUCCACGUGAUAUGAUUUUAUGCGUAUCUUGAUAUUCUUGGUAUUUAAUCAGAAAGCAACUUCACAGUUCAGAUUAAUUGGUUUUUAAACCUAACCACCCAAACAUAAUCCAACCAACCAAGCACGUGUAUAGGUAAAUUAAAUACCUCGACAGUGAUUUCCUGGAGAUCUUUCUUCUGUAGCUCUAAGGCUGAGCUUAAAGCAGAUACCUUUCCCUCCAACCUUUUAGCCUCUUGACGCAAUUCUUCUGGAUUUCCUUCACAGUUCUGCGGUUUCUGACUAGGGCUUUGAUCAUGGGGAUCACCAACUGACUGGAAAUACAGGCGACUCACAUUUUUCUCCGAACAGUUCUGUUUGCAGACAGGACAAUUCUUCUUUUUUCCAUUUGUACAGUACUCAAACCAUUGUUGUAUGCUAGAGUGUCAAAAACAUAACAUGCCACAGUUAUAACCGUCUGAAUAUCAUUUAGUACUCGCAACUUGUUAGCAGUUAGCACACAAGAUAACUUCUUUUUUUUGUCAUAAGCACACAAGAUAACUUUGGCUGCUUUUUAUUCCAACUUUCAUGAUAGCCAUUUUAUUAGCAAACUAUGAAAGAUCACAUUCACCACACUUUUUUUUAACGUAAAUAUAACCUAAAUGAAACACACAACUUCAAUUAGGAACUAACCUUGUUGUAUUUGAGCAAUUAAAUAAGAAUGAACUCUACGAUUUCAUAUUCAAACUCGCCUAAUUGUAUGCCUAAAUCGCAAAUUAGAUGUGCAUUCAACUGGGAUUUUUAAAGAUUUUUUUCAUUCACGAAACUCAGGUUAUUCAUCUUGGAUUUUAAAAAAUAUAUCAAAAUUUUGGGGUAUUCAAUUAGGAGUUUAAAUUAUCUUAACAAAAAUGUUGGUAUUCAAUCAGGAUUUUAAAUCAUACAUAAAAAUCCGAUGAUAUUCAAUUGGGAUUAUUUAAAAUUCAUUGAAAUAUGAUGGUAUUCAAAUGCUGAUGGAUUUUUUUGAACUUCAUGAAAUGAUGAAUUUUGUGGAAUUUUUCAAUGUAUUAUAUACUUUUUGAAAUCCCACCAUAAUCCGUGGGAUUUUGAAACAUUGUGCUUAAAUCCUAAGGACACUACAUCAACUGUGCGACAUUAGUAAUAUUUUACUAUCUUAGAAUUUUCAUCUAGAAACCCACUAGACUCCACAUAAAAUCAAAAUAAGAUAAAAUCCGUAGAUUAUUAUUGAUCCAUUAAAAUUUCAACUAAAUACACCCUGCCCCUUGUAGACAAAAAAACUCCGGUUGAUGUGUCAAUACGCGAGCGCAGAUACUAUCUAAAAUUUGGGGCCUAGGGCACAGACUCGCAGUUUAAUUCAACCAAUCAAAAGAACUAGUACAAUUGAUAUUAAUCAGAUUAAUCUUACAUUCAAAUACAGAUAAAUAAUGUCACGGCAAUUUCAGACUGAGGAACUUUUAGAAACAAUUAAAUCGAAAUGAUGAUAAAAGAUUAAAAAUAAUAAUAAAUAAUAAUGGAGUGACUAACCAUAGCUCGUGAAAAACAUGACCACAGAUGGAGAUGGAUUGAAGGUCUUCGACGUUUGGCUUCAGCUCAUCGAAGCAGAUUGUGCAAAUCAUCUUCGCGAACGGGUUGAUACUCAUUGCUGUUUAUUUUCUCCGGCGACGGCACUCAGGGCCUCGGUAGUUGUGCUGUUUUUUGUGCGCGAUGGUGCCGGAUAAAUGGAGCGCGAUUUGUUUCUAAAAAGAAAAACUUGCGAGGCGGGAAAAGCCAGAGGGAAACUAAAUUUUCUUUGCUUCGCAUUGUCCUUUAUAUUUCAGAUUUAGAGCCUGUUUGGUAAUGUGACUUUUUCUUUUCUUUUCUUUUUUUUAAUACAUGGUAAUGUGACUUAUGCUAUACUGUAAAUCGGGAGUUUAAAAAAACUCGGUAAUUAAUUAUUAUUUUUUAUUAUUUUACUUCCUCUAUUUUAUUAUAUUCAUUCCUUUCAUUUAUGUUUUAUUAGAUUUAUUGUUUAUUAUUUUUUACAUUAGUUAAGUUUAUAUAUAUAUAAACAUAUAUAAUUUUCUUGUAUUGAUUUAUGUUUUGUUUCUUUUUUCAGGAUAUUCUGAAAGAAUAGAAAUUGAAUUUUAUCUUUUCAAUCAUUAAGGUCUUAUUUUAUAAGAUUUUGGGGUCAUCUUGCAUGACUUUUAAUUAGAAAAUAAACUUUCUUGAAUGAAAUAUUUCUCUUGUGGCAGGCAACUAUUGUAUUCGAUACAACUCAUCUAAGUGUAUGUAAAUCUUGACACAAAAAAAACCUCAGUAACUUUGACUUAUUAAUGAUUUAUUCUUUAUUACAAAUAUAAUAAUGAAAAUAAAUGUGAUUUACAGAUAAUUUGUGUCUUAUGAAUAAUUUUUAUAUAAAAAAUAAUUUGCUGAAAAAGGUAUCUCAAACUAACUUUUGACUUUAAGUCAGUUUUUGACUUAUUUAUAACUUUAUGUCGACUUCUGACUUAUUACACAAACAGACAUUUUAAUUUAAAUUUAGAAACAACUUCAAUCCCUGAUAAACAGACUCCUGAUAGCGAUUAGACCGUGCAAUAUACAAUCUCACUUUUAACGUGUAAAUUUAUGUUUUUAUAUAUAAUUUAUACAUUUUGUCACCAUAAUUAUUUAUAUUAAGCCAACUAAAAUUUAAUUUAUCAUUUUAAAUCAUGAUUAUGACCGGGAAAUAUAGAUUUAUGAUCAGUGUUUUGAAAUUUUAUAACUUAAUUUAUCUUGAACAAUACGACACUCGACUAUGUCAAGAGGACUUUUAACAUAAAUCGUUUAGGAGGGCAGUCAUAAAAUUGCAAUCCGCAUACAUGGGAUGUUAAAACACUUUUUUCAUGGCACUACACUUAACUCCGUAUUAUUAUAAUAUUAUUUACACCUGCUCGAGGUCAAUUCAUACCAAUUUAUGCCUGUUUCGAGAAUUUUAAUGUUGAUGAGAUUUAUUUUUAAAACUAAUCUUGUUUAGUUUAGCAAUGUCAACAAAUUAAAUACACAUGUAGCAAAAUGAUUUCAUCAACGACGCUUAUCUGUUUGUUCUAAAACGAAGGCCUGCAACUGCAACCAAAAAAUGUGAAACCCACGACUCUUGUAAAAGCGAGCAUUUAUGAGAAAACUCUAAUCCCAAACAUUAGGGGUGAACACGGGUUGGGUCGGUCGGGUUAGGGGAAUAAAAUGACCCAAUCCAAUUAGUUCUGUUUAUAAAAAAAUAACCCAUUGACUAAAAUAAAUAUACAUAACCCAGUUUUGCUAAUCAAAAUUUGGGUUGGGUUGGUUCGAUUUGAGUCGGGUUUCACAAGCAAAAACAAAAAUAGACACAUAAAUUGUCAAGUGUCGUCAACCUGCUCCUGUUCUUGCACUUCAUAAUACAUAACAAAAUAUUGUCCCAAUACUAGUAAUUAAUAUUACAACUUACCAAUUAACAUAGUUGUGCCCACAUAUCAGAAGACAGUCUUCUCAUAAGUUAUAUAAGGGUUAAACUGCUUAGUUUUGUACAAGGGUACGCAAAAGCUUUCCAUUAUGUUUAGCCAUCGCCCAUCAGAAGUUCAGAGCAAUUCUAGUUAUUUAGAAACACAAACAGCAAACUAUGUGGCAAGAAUAUUUGCAGGACAUCUUGUUUGAUUGUGGGAUUAUUAGUUUAGUUGUUUGUAUAUAAACGGGUUGGGUUGGGUUGGUUAAGGGUUAUAAAAUGUUAAAUCCUGACCCAACUCAAUUUAUUCGGGUUUUUUGAAAAUUAACCCAUUUAAUGAUCGGUUUCGAAUGGCUCGGUUUAAUCAGUUGAAAAGAGGGUUGGUUUGGGUCGGGUUUUGCGGUUUGGGUCGGGUUUUGUUCACCUCUACCAAACACCUAAGUCAAAACCUAAAUCACGAACCUACUCCGGCACUCCGCCAUCAACUGCCACUAAUUUUUAGCAACCCUCCGCCACUAAUUUCAACAACCCUUCAUGAAUUUUGUUAUCAUUAUAUUCAUCCGCUAAUAUCAUGUAUGAUACAUCUCAACGCGUUUUAAAAAUUAUUUUAUAUUUUAGCUGCUAAUUUUCAGUCUAACUAGAUUUCCAGUAAAGCAAGACUUAUAUAUAUUAAGCAGUUUUCAGAAAUUUAUAUUAUAAUUGAAAUUAGUUAGAGUACAAAUUAUGAAUUUGCAUGAUCGCAAAAAUUGAUAAUCAGAACUAGUCGUCUGACCUACAAAUUCAAAAUUUAUUGAAGACUUUUUUUGAUAAAUUAAACUUUUUUAAUCAAAUCGAAAUGUAAUUGACGAAUCAAUAAAACAUUUUUCAAAAAUUAAUCAAUUUUUUUUCAAUCGAUUAAGGAUUUUCAGAACCCUACAAAUUUAUAUUUCAUUUUACAACACCGUUAUAAUUAUCUUUUAUUUUUCAUUACAAUGAUCUUUAUCUUGUUUACGAUCCUAAAUUUGUUUUGAUGAUUAAUGUGCAUCUAAACUAUAAAAAUUAUGGAAUACAGUUUUGUAAAAGUUAUUAUUUCUUUUUUAAAAUUUAGGCUUAUACAAUUUUAAACUCUGUUUAUACUUCUAACUAAAAGUAAAUAUUUUUAGAUGUAUAAACUAUACUAUUUAAAUACGAUUUUUAUAUUAAAUAAAGUAAUCAUGUUUUGAAGAUUUGACCGAGCUGUGUUUUUGAUUUCAGCAAAAAGUACUCCGAACCGAUGUGCAAUAUUGCUUGCUAAAAACAAAAAACGAAAUAUAAAAAGAAAAGAAAAUACUUACUCCCCUCGAUUCCUUUACGAAAAUACCCGAUCUUUAAUACAACGACAGCCCCGUAGCGAGGGUACAAUUGUCAUCCCGUCGCUCAUAUCAUCAUUGUAGUCUUCGCUUAUACAGACUGUUUUCUCUCUCUAAAAAUCCCUCUUUCUCUCUCUAACCUUGCUCGAUCUAUAUCAAUCGCAAAGAGUACAAAGAACAACAGCAGUGAUAUACAAAUCAUCUGCUGCAGUCAUCAUAUCACUCUAAUUCCAUCACCAAAGAGGCAAGUCUAUUCAAUUAUCUUCUAAUUUAGUCACACAUUUCAUCGUUUAGUUACGCAUUUAAAUUUGUUUGAUUAUAGAUCGUGUUUAAAUUAGUUGCAAUUUUUAAUUUAUAUAUUAAUCUGCGAUUUGUCUGAAAUGAUAUGAGUGAUUGAAGAUGUAUGUGAGCUUAAAUUGAAUUUACAAAGGUGGCUUAAACUCUGAAUUGUUGUAGUAUAAGUCAGAAUGCUAGAUAGAAUGUGUUUGUAGUUCGUUUGAUUUGCGUAUACUUGCUAGCAUUUUAGUUUUUGAAUCUACGAGUAAUAAAAUUUUGAUCAGUUGAUGAAUGAUCUUCGGUUAGUUAUGAUGUCAUCGGUGCACCCUGACAAAAUUAAAUAUGAAACGGAUAGAGGAAUCUGAAAUUCGGUUAUCUUAGAAACGACAGACUGACUUGUGUUUACGGGAUUGAAUAUACUGACUGUUUUUAGAAACUCUAGGAUAUUAGGGUUUUACGUUAAAUAUGUAUGCGGAGACCUGGCGAGCUUAUUGAAAGUGAAAUUUUAUAUAACCUUACUUUGACGUACAUUUGAAAAUAGUUUCUACGCAAAGAAUCUAACAAUUAAUUAUAUACGUCAAGUUCACAUCAUUAUAUCUAAAGCAUACCGUGGAAACAAGUCUUUUUUUGGAUGAUAAUAUCCCACUCUCUAUCAGUAAGCAAGAGGCCAUCUACUUUUUUGAACUAGAUUGCUGCAAAACAAUGUGCCGGGUUUCAGUAAUAAGGAUCCAACUAAGAUCCCUUACCAAGCAGUAAUAUUUUAUAUUACCUUUUUGCUAGGAAUUAUAAAUAUAUAGAAGGAAUAAAAACUCUAUCUGAAUACAUUCUCAUACUUAGUGGCACAAUAUUAUAAUAUUCAGCUACGAUUGAGAUCAAUGCCUACUAUCGGUCUGGUGCUUUAGUAUUUGUGUAUAACUAUUAUUUUUUGGUUCUCAGAUGAAAGAGAGUAGAAGUAGAGGCAGGUCCAAUAAAACUUCGAUAUCCUCUUCCAACGAUUCCCAGCCACUCGUUUUAAAUAUAGAGGAUUUCAAGGUAUCAUCACAACUCCUAAUUGGGUUGUCAGUUGUUCAAUGUGUUUCAGUCACUGCAUCUGGCAUUGACUUGCAGUGUAAUUUACAUUUUGUAGGGGGGAUUUUCCUUUGAUGCAUUGUUUGGAAACUUGGUAAAUGAGUUGCUCCCAUCUUUUCAAGAUGAAGAAUCAGAAUCAGCAGAAGGUCACUCAAACAAUUCUGGAAAUGACACUUUGCCAAAUGGUAAUAUAAAAUCCUCUGAAGCUGGAAAAUGGUCACAAGGGGAUUCAAGCCCUUCAUUUCCAGAGGUGGAUGCUCUAUUGUCUUUGUUUAAAAAUUCCUGCACUCAGUUAGUUGAUCUGCAGAAACAGGUAUGAAAAGUAACGUGAAAAUAUGAUAUUUUCUUUUAUUUGUCUGCGACUUCCUCUACUGAAAACUAAUAUGGCACGCCGUUAAAGAUUGAUGGAAGACUUGACAAUCUCAAGAAAGAAGUUGCCUCCCAGGACUCAAAGCACCGGAAGACACUCACUGAGGUAGGUUGGCUGUCUGCAUUUAUUUAGCACCUCUUCUCAUUAAUUAUAAUUUAAAACGAUGAUUUCUCAGUUGUUGAAUAUAUGCUUUGCAUGAACAGCUGGAAAAAGGCGUAGAUGGCUUAUUUGAAAGCUUUGCAAGACUUGAUUCACGUAUUUCUAGUGUUGGGCAAACUGCUGCUAAAAUUGGAGAUCAUUUGCAGGUAAAACUCUAUCAAUCUUUAAUGACUAAGAUGAUGAAAUGCAAUCAUUAAGUAUCUAAAAUGACAAAAAAUAAGAUUUUAUCACAGAUGACGAACAUAUAUAACUUGGUAAUGUGAGAAUAUCAACAAGUCUUUAGAACUCAUGUGCAGAGCAUAGGAUUGUUAUAGAUGUACUUCUCUCGUAAUAGCUCUAAUUAAUAUGUUAUAUGUGGGUUCUUAGAUUUACUCCCGUGUCACAAAAUAUGUGGCUGACUUUUGUUUGCAGUCUUUAGAACUCAUGUGCAGAGCAUAGGAUUGUUAUAGAUUUACUUAUCUCGUAAUAGCUCUAAGUAAUAUUUUAUAUGUGGGUUCUUAGGUUUACUCCCGUGUCACAUAAUAUGCGGCUGACUUUUGUUUGCAGUCUUUAGAACUCAUGUGCAGAGCUUAGGAUUGUUAUAGAUGUGCUUAUCUCGUAAUAGCUCUAAUUAAUAUGUUAUAUGUGGGUUCUUUGGUUUACUCCCGUGUCACAUAAUAGGGCUGCACAUGGGCUGGGUUGGGCCGGAUUCGGCCAUUCAAGCGACCCAACCCAUUGAGUACGGGUUAGAAAAAUUUAACCCAUUAAUCAUAAAAAGAAUUAGAAACCCAACCCUACUAAUUGUAUGACGGGUUGGGUUGGUUAGGGUAGGGUUGAUCGGGUUGAAAAAUUUGCAAGAUAAGCAUAAUCCAAAAUAUGUUUUGCACCAUUUUGUUGUAUACAAUUAGCAAUAACAUAGGACACUGCACCGAUACAAAAUAUCAGGUGCUUUUAGAGUGCAGAUAUUCUCUUCAUACUAAGGUGGACAGCUGAAUCUUAAUACACUAAUAACUAUUAAAAAUCAUGUUUCCGCCAUGAUAUAUAAUCAUAAGAACUAGCAAUGUGAGUCGUUUGAUUUGAACUAUAAAGCUUUAUUUCUAAUUGUUUCUGCACACUGCACUACACUCACUGCACAUUCUAUCAUCAAAUAAGUAAAUAUAGUUCCGUAAGCAACCAAAAAUAUUCUACUCCCUCCGUCUCUUAUUACUUUUCCUGUUUCUCUCUAGCACGUUUGCCAAUACACACUUUUGAUCCUUAAUAUCAUUAAUUAUGUAUUAGUAUUAAAUAUAAAAACUUCAUUGUAUUAAAGUACUCGUGAAUACGAAUCCAACAAGAUCGCUCACGACUAUAUUUAGUCUUAUAGAUUAGACGUAAAUUAGUAAUUAGUCUCAUGUUAUGAACAGUCUCGACAUAUCAAACGAGAAAAGAAUAAAGAAACGGAGGGAGUUUAUAGCCCCCCCCAAACCCGACCCGACCCGACCCGACCCGACCCGACCCAACCCAGAAAAAGAAACAAGUACUGGCCAUUCAGCAAUUAAUUUUCUGACUCUACUUAUAUAUAUAUAUAUAUAUAUANNNNNNNNNNNNNNNNNNNNNNNNNNNNNNUAUAUAUAUUCUUUUAUAAUUCUCAUUACUUUCAAUGACAUAAGUUAGGUAGAGAAAGAUAACAUAUUAAUUAUGAUAAACAAGUUGCAUAAAACUUUAAGAUUAACUCUCACAAUUAAUAACUUUAAGAUUUUUAAUAUGUGUAAAUUUCGGAUCAAUCAUAUAUUGUGGGACGGGAUUUGAUGAUUUUCACUUCUUGGACAGAGUGCAGAUGCUCAGCGAGAUACUGCUAGCCAAACGAUGGAGCUCAUAAAGGUAAUUAUAUCUGAUACACUUGUCAAUUAUUUUUUACCUCAUUGUUUUAACCCUGCUUAUAUGCAGUAUCUGAUGGAGUUUAAUAGUAGCCCGGGUGACUUAAUGGAGCUGUCACCGCUUUUUUCUGAUGAUAGUCGUGUUGCUGAGGCUGCAUCAAUUGCUCAAAAAUUGCGUAAGAGUUUAUUUUUCUAUCUUGUCAUGAUAUCGCCUCUUUGCUUUAGUAUCAAGAAUGUUGCUUACUAGGGCUCAAGUACCAGAAAAUUGUUAUUUUUUUUUAGUUGGAGUGUUGGACCUUAAGUGAAUGGGUGCCAGACACAGUUUUACCGCUUAUUGUCCACCUUGAUGAGCAGUAUUCUGCUCAUGAGGGUUUUCUUUUUUCUUUUGCUUAGAUGAAAAAAUAUAUGGGAGGCCUCUAUUGAAAAGCUAUUUAGUUUGUUCAAUUCUGUAAGGACACCUAUGUUAUCAGAAGGUGCACUGAUGAUGUAUAUAUAAGUCACCGAUACUGUUGCUGAUUGACCUGUCACCUGUUGCUUUCUACACAGAUAAUUUGCUUCACAAAGUGUGAGAAUCACAUUGCUGUUACUAGUAAACUUUGUUUAUUUAAUUUUUUUAUCUUUGAAAGAAUGAAUUAAAAGAUAUGCAUAGAUUUGUAUGAAUAAAUGUUACUUUGCAGUCAAUAUUGCUUGCUGUGUCGAAGGAUGAAUAAGUUGAACUAAUUUAAAGAGCAUCUUAAAUUCUACAUGGAGCUUGCAUGACAGUUUUAUUUUGUUUUAUCGUUUCUAGGAUCAUUUGCGGAGGAAGAUAUUGGAAGAAGGCAAAACAUGACGGUCUCAUCUGCUGAGGGUAAUGCAACUGCUAGCAGAGGAUUGGAAGUGGCGGUUGCUAAUCUUCAAGAAUACUGUAAUGGUAAUUGAUUAUUUGUUGGCCAUUUCUUAUUCACAUAUUUUUUUUUUGAUGCACACAAGGUUUUCUGCGAUCAGCCGAUCACAUUGUAAUAUGUGUGUCUUUUUAUGUGUAGUUAUUAAAGGCUUUCUUUUUUGCUUGUGCAGAAUUGGAAAACAGAUUGUUAUCUCGGUUUGAUGCAGCAUCACAGAGGAGAGAACUUUCUACCAUGGCCGAGUGUGCUAAAAUCUUGUCUCAGGUAAUUUGACUAUUUGAGCUAGCUUUGUUGCUCGUCUAAAGAGGAGUGCUAUGAAUAUCGCCAUUCUCUUAAACAAUUGUGCAAGACAAAAACUAAAAAAUCAAGUCUAUUUGUUUUGGAAAGUGCCGACGGUUAAUCCUCUAGUUGUUAUUACAAAUCACAUCAUGCUCUGAAAUCCCAAAUAAACAUUUAUUAACUUCCAGUGGUUAGGCUAGGGUCUCAAAAUAUUUGAGAAAUCUUACAUUUUGUUUGAACAAGUAUAUCAAGAAGCCAGAAACCUAAUGUAAGUGAACUAGACUUGUUGCAGAUGGUAAUUUUUACACAAGCGAGUUAUGUAAUUGAUGCUUACGCUUACUCUUCUCUAGAAGUGCUUUGUUAAGCACAUUGGAGCAACCUCUUACACUACUUUCCCCUUCUUUUUUGCUCUCUACUCUGUCACCAUUCACCAAUAUGAAGUCAUGUCCUUGAUUUAACAACGUUUGUUCAUGCAGUUUAACAAGGGCACCAGUGCCAUGCAACAUUAUGUAGGACUGCGCCCGAUGUUUGAUGUGGAGGUCAUGAAUUCAGACACUGCAUUACUUCUUGGUGACCAAGAUUCACAACCUAGUCCGAGCAAUGUCUCUCGGGGACUAUCUUCACUUUACAAAGAUAUUACUGGUGUGAGAACAAAUCUGCUGUUUCAGUUAGGAGUUUACACUUCAGAGUAUUUGAUGGAGUUCCUAUUAUUGGUUUGCAGAUACUGUGCGUAAAGAAGCUGCUACCAUAACGGCUGUAUUCCCUUCUCCAAAUGAUGUUAUGUCGAUCUUGGUUCAGGUAUAUCCGGCAGAUAUAUGAUUUUGUUCAUAGAUCUUCGGCAGGUUCUGCAUUGUCUGAAGUUCAGAAAUAGUAAUGUGCUAAUGACUUUAAAAUAUUGAUUUACAUCAUUUUGUGUUGGUGCGGUUCAGCGAGUCAUGGAGGACCGUGUUCCCAAACUACUCGAGAAACUUUUGGAAAAGCCAUCUCUUAGUAACCCACCUCCUCUUGAAGAAGGUGGACUUCUAUUAGUGAGUUCUUCUGCUGGGUUCACAUUUUAUUCUCAUGAGCUAAAUGCCGUAUUUGAUGCAACUCCAACUUUUUUAACGGAUUUCCUUUAUGGUGAUGAUUUCAGUAUCUUAGACUGCUAGCUGUGGCAUACGAGAAAACCCAGGAACUUGCUAGAGAUCUGCAUGGUGUUGGGUGUGGUGACUUGGAUGUUGAAGGUGUGGAGUGAUUUAUAUGGUUGAAAAGUCUAAUUCUUACUCGAGAUGACUGACUUGACGUAAUUGUAAUAUUUGGAAGAAAAAGUGACCUCAAUUUUUUUAGUUAGCAAUGUCCGUUGAAAUUAUAUAUGAGUUAUUUAGUUUGCACAAAACUGCUCUGUUAAGGUUACUCUGCUAAAGUACUUUGGCUAGAUGAUAUUUUGAAAAACAAUGUUAUAAUCGUGUUCAUCAGCUCGUAACCUUUACUUUAUCUCCUUCUAAGAAUGCACUUUCUGGUGCUGGUCACUCUCAGUUAAAUUUUUCCCAUGGAAACACCACAUUACAAAAUCUAUUGGAUCACUUAUUCCUCCUUACCCAUAUGUUACUUGACCCAAAAUAGAUAACCCUAGAAUUCUUCGAGAGGUGUAAGGGUUUCUUUGCGGGAAUUACAUUUAUUUGAGUACUUCAAUAAUUUAAGGUAAAAGGUAAAAGUCUGUUAGUAUAUUUUUAUUCAUUUUACUAUCAAUUUCCUUGUACUAUAUAUGUUUAUAUCUUCAAUACACAUUUUCUUAUAUAAAUGUGAAAAAAAGUAAAUGAUAUACAAGUGAAAAUAGUAAAAGUACAUAAUAAUUGCAUCGUGAUUGAUAUUAUAAUCUAUUUUGGAGUGAGUGGAGUUUUAUUAUCUUCCCGUCUAUUAUUUUUUAGCAGUAACAAAAUUUGAAUUUCUGUUAUAUUCUUAAAGAGGCAUGCAUUCAUUAAGCUAUCUACAAGUUUUUGAAUUUCGGGACUUCUUGCUUGACGCAUGUUUUUUUAAUCUUUUUAUAUAUUAACCAGAAUCUAAAUUUGUAAUAUUGUUGUGUAGGCCUGACAGAGUCUUUGUUUUCUCCUCACAAAGAUAUGUAUAUCGAGUAUGAGCAAGCGUCUCUGAAACAACUCUACAAAGCUAAGGUUUAUCAGCAUUUCUGUCAUUCAUGAUAUGCAUGUAAAUAUGUGUGUGUGUGUGUGUGUGUGUGUGUUUGUGGGCGCGUGCUUGUGUUUUAUAAUAUCACGUAUAAGAUAAUUUUACUUAUGCAGAUGGAGGAAUUGCGUGCGGAGAACCAGCUAUCCUCUGAAUCAAGCGGAUCAAUAGGACGUUCUAAAGGAUCUUCAAUACAGUCUUCUCAGCAGAUAUCUGUUACUGUGGUGACAGAGUUUGUUCGAUGGAAUGAAGAGGCAAUUACUAGAUGUUCUUUGUUUUCGUCUCAGGUAAAACAUAACUACUUCCAUAGUUUGUCAUUGUUCUUCCUUUAACAUUAAUCUGAGUUGCCUCACCAAUUACAUUAAUGAUUCAAUAGUCUUUUGUAUGGUUCGCCUUUUUAUUUUGUGUUUUAUAGUAAGGCGAGAGAUCCCAUUGCAUACACAACUGUAUUCAUAUUUCUUCCCAUGAUCGGCACUUAUACUUGAUAUUAAUGUUGUCCCAUAUAUCUGUGUAGUAGGCCCGUAGGUCCACAUUUCUGAGGUAUUUGCCUUCUGGAGCUCACGACUCCAUGCAUUUUUUCCUGCAAAAGGCAAUAGAUGGUACCAAAAUAAUCCCUCAUAUGGGGGCAGUGAUGCUUGGCAAGCUUUCUCACUUCUGAUUUGUGAGAAAGCUGUAAGAGCUUGUCUGCUGACAAGCUCCUUGUCUCCUUCUCGAUAAGGGUAUAGUGACGGGCUUUCUUACUUUGUAAGAGACUCUUCAGUGCUAAUGAGCUAGCAAGAACAUCUACUUCUACUCGAUGUGUAUAUUGUGGUAUUAGGCUAUCAUCACAUAUUAUCUGUCAUCUGCUUAUCCUUAAAACAUUGGCCAGCAGUGGUAUUUUAAAUCAUAUUGCUAACGCUGUUAAUAAUUAGGCAGUGAGUUUGCUACCAACAUGUUGAUCUGUGAUACACUGUAAUUUAAUACUAUGUAACACAUUUUCAGAAUUUUGAUCUCACAAAGUUACAUAUCAAUACUGCAAGGCUUGUUAUAGACUGUAAUCGGAAGUGGAAGAUUCUUUAGGAAAAAAAUGUAUUGGCAAGAGUUAAUGAUAUUAUAUUAAUAUAUAGACUUUGAUGCUGGUGGGAUGUGCUUUUAAGGAAUAGUGAUACCUGAGAUCUUUACAGAAUGUAGUGGUGAGUCUUUGUUGCAAAAGAUGUGCCUUGUACAGUCUUACUCUUUUACUAGUUAGGGUGUUGAUCUCAAAGGUUUUGCUUUUUCUUUUUGUCGGGGUUCACAUUAGUUAGGACUUUAAAUAUAUCACACACACACACACACACACACACACACACAUAUAAUAUCUAUAUCUCUAGUCUCUACUAUAUUAUUAUGGCCAUUGCUUUGUAAUAAAGUCUACUAUUAAAAACAAUAAAGAACAUUAUGGAAUCAAAUAAUUUUUCUAUCUUCUAAUUUAAACAAAAACGACCACUUUACAUUUGUUUUUUGGAAUUUAGAUAAUCAUUGUUAAACUUUGUGUUUUCUUUAUCUUAACGAUGCAUCUCUCAUUAAUGAUUGUGUGUAAAGAGUGCUACACAAAUUUAUGAGUGUUCAUCAUGGAGUGCAACCUGAACAUGGGUUUAAUUUGGGGUCGAUCAGUAGUACAUAAUUUAAAUAGCAAGGUAGAGUUUGAAGCCCAUCUACAACAUACCAAAAUAUAAUUUUUUAGUAUUAGCAAUUAGACAAAUGUCCAGGGUUGAAUCUCCUCAAUAACUUAUUAAAAUUUAAUAAAUAUAUAAAAUUCACACAAUUAACCUUAAAGGUACAAAAAUAAAUAAAUUAAGAUUUAAAAGAUAAUACCAGAAAUUAAGAGUUGGUAGAUUUACAAGAGGUCGUGAGAUCAAUAUUGAUAAUUAAAUAUUCACACACACAAAAAACUACAUACAAAUACUAUGGAUAAUACUAUAUACAUACAGUAUGAGUUAUAUACAUAUGUAAAUGCUUAUCACUAAUUUUUCUAUAUAAUAUCUUAUGCUACUAAAUCAAUUAAAUAUGAUUAACUAGAUAAUAAUAUUAUACAAAUGAUAUUUAAGGAUAUUGGAAAUAUCACUGUCAAUUUGAAAACAAAUAUAAAAUUGAAAAUUUAAAUAUUGAAGCAGAAUUAAUAAUAUAGUAGAAAACACACCUGUGAUCACGUGUUUUAAGCUAGUAUAUUUGAAAUUUGGAGUGUUCAGUGACUUGCUCCAAGUCUCUCAUCAAUUAACCAGCGGAUAGAACGUUCAGUGUGCUUUUUGCAGCUGAUGGAUGUGGAGGCAAGACAUGUCAAAUGUGCUUUUAAUUAAAAGCUCGAGAUGAUGGGUUUAGAGGUUGCAAGAAUAGAUCAGCAUUCUUUGACAUUUCCUUUUUGUAGGGACAGAGUACAGACUAAUAUUGUGCGCAUAUCUUCUGCAAAUUUUGGUUUGUUUUUGUGUUGGUUUAUAUUGGUACACCUUACUUGUGGUGUUUCUGAGUUUGUUUAUUUAUUUAGUGGGCGCAUAUUUUUAUUAUUAAUUGCAUUAAGUUGGUUCACUACAUUUGUUGAUUAGUUAUUAAUUUGUCUUUACAGUCCACCACACUUGCGGCGAACGUAAAACCCAUGUUCACUUGUCUUUUAGACCAGGUAAGUAUGUCCGUAUUUAGUAUUCCAAUUUUGGGCUGUUAUGCCUUUGAAAUAGGUAUUAUUAGAUUGAAAUUAUGAUCUCCUGUCCCCUCUUCUCUUGCAGGUUAGUCAAUACACAACAGAGGGUCUUGAACGUGCUAGAGACGGCCUCACUGAAGCUGCAGCUUUGAGAGAAAGGUUUGUGCUUGGCACAAACCUUAGUCGAAGAGUGGCUGCUGCAGCUGCUUCCGCUGUAAUUGCUUUAUUGCAUAUUUAAAACAUUUAGCCGGCUUGCUGUCAAAUAUUAAUAGAUAGAUGCCAUUCUUGUGCACCAUGCAUAAUUCGACUGAAUGAUGACAUAGAUAUAUUGUAAUUUGUAGGCAGAAGCUGCAGCUGCUGCCGGAGAAAGCAGUUUCCGAUCUUUUAUGGUGGCGGUACAGCGUUGUGGCAGCAGUGUUGCUAUUGUUCAGCAAGUAUGUAGAUUAGGCAUUUAAUUAUUUCAGAAUUUGUGAUCUUUCCAGAUAUUUUACUGACCCUUACUGUUCAUUAUCCUUGCUUAGUAUUUUUCGAACUCAAUAGCUCGGCUUUUACUCCCUGUCGAUGGUGCGCAUGCUGCUGCUUGUGAGGAAAUGUCAACAGCUAUGUCCAGUGCAGAAGGUGCUGCCUAUAAAGGGCUUCAGCAAUGCAUUGAGACGGUCAUGGCAGAGGUCUGUGAUAUAAGGUUUUGCAUCUUACACACACACACACACACACACACACAUUUUUGUGUAGCAUUCUACCGGAGAGAUGUAUGUAUAAAAUCUAUAGUUCUGCCAUUUUAGUUUUUGUUAGGAGUCAUGCUAUAUUGUAUUUUCCCUUGUCUAAUUGUAAAUGUUAAUGUGUUGGCUUAUAAGACUCUCGCCUCCUUUCUGAAAGUAUUGUUGUCUGUUCCUUACACAGGUGGAACGGUUGCUUUCAGCUGAACAAAAAGCAACAGAGUAUCGCUCACCUGAUGAUGGGCUCAUUCCUGAUCAUCGUCCAACAACUGCGUGCACGAGGUAUAUCAAACUCACGAACUUUCAACUUCUACUAUAAAUACCUAUACACAAGUUUUCUUGAACUACAGUCAUUUAGUUUCUCUAUGUUACUUUUCUGGUGCAAAAUUAUUUAGUCAUAUUUUUCUUUGCUAAAUUUGGUAUCUGUGCUAACUUUAUUUCUAAUGUUUAAUCCUCUGAUUUUUUUAUACUGGCUGAAUCACCACUUGGCAGGGUUGUUGCAUAUCUUUCCCGUGUGCUGGAGGCAGCUUUCACUGCACUUGAUGGCCUUAACAAACAAGCUUUCCUUACUGAAUUGGUAUGUCAGUUUUACUUUCGUAUUUAUUUUAGUACAUUAGUGAAACCUUGUUAUGUAGCGAUGUCAGCGAGCUAACUCUUUUCAUUCUAUAAGUAAUGAGUUGAUGUAUGUUCUUGUAGGUAAAUUUCAAUUAUUACAAAAAGAAAAUGAUAUUACAUUAUUACUCUUUACAACUCUUGUUCAUUUUUAUUAUGCCCGUGUCUAUGCCUUCCUGAAAGCUGUUUACGAUUCUUAACAUGCGCAAUGGCCAAUGUGCAUACACAUACCCAUUUGUUACAGUAUCCAUUGUAUCAUGACUGUGCAACAUUGUGCAAACUCGCUAGAAGUUCUAAAGUUUGCUUACAAUAAAAAACAGGAUUAUUUUAUCUAAAGUCUAUUAUCUUCCGUGACAAGUAUAUCCCCUAAAAUAGUUAAAUUUCCACCUGUCAUACACUUGUAGGCUUCUUUAAUCGCAGCAUUCUUUUUAGAAGAUAACACUACUUUAAGUCAACAUAUAUUGCUAUACUACAAAAUUUUAAUUUGUAACGCUGUUACUUUGUUGUUGAUUUAAGGGAAACCGCUUGCACAAAGGUCUGAUUAAUCACUGGCAGAAGUUCACUUUUAACCCGAGGUAACAUGUUAAUCUGUUAUUAUACUCUAGUAUUGUGUUCAGUGCAUUUUAUUUGUAUGUGCUAUAUCUUAUAUGUCCUGGGCAUUUCUUCUCACAACUGAGAGCAUAGAAGUGGGAUUCCAUGUAUAGCAGAUCUGAGGACAUUUUCCUUUUGCAAUUUUUUUUUAUACAAUACAUUAGGCAAUUGUAAACCUUUUCACACGAUAGUGAAAAUUUAAAAUUUUAGUGUAGAAAUAGGUUUAUUCUUCCAUGAAAGUGGAAUCUCGCUACCACCCUCGUGUUGAAAUAUUUAAUUGCAGUGUUCUAUUAGCUAUCAGAUGUUAUUCUCCUGAUCCUAACUUGGUUACUAGAGUUAACCAUAAUUAUGCUGAGAUUUAUUAGGUCUAUCGCAAAAUUCCGUGUUUAAGUCUUUGACAUAGACUUCUCUCUUUGCUCAAGGUGCAAGUGAGAUAUGUACUAAGUCUCUUGACUCUAUGUUCUUUUUUAAUAAUUAAUGUAGUAGCAAGGAUUUAGUUUACAGAAGCUUUGGAAGUGUACCUGGAAUCUAACUGUUCAAACCUUAAUUAUGUAGGAUAGUCCACAAUUAUUCCUUUUAGAGCAUGCAGUGGUUAAACUACAAGUUCUGAAAGCAUCUUCACUAAUUUGCUGACAAGUGAUGACAUAAAUUCACUCAAGUAUAUGAUUUUUCUUGCACGUGCUACUAGACACUAAUUCUUAUUAUGAUAGGGAUAAAUUAAGAAGAAUAUAUUAUAGAGGAUCUUUAGAUAAUAUAAAUUGAAUUUAAAACUUAAUCAAUACUAAUUUUGGCCAUAUAUAAAAUUUACUUGCUUGUUACUAAUCAAAAGACUAAAGCAAAAACCACAUGAAUUCAUGUGUAGCGGCGGGCUGCGGCUUAAGCGUGACAUCACUGAAUACGGGGAGUUUGUGCGCAGUUUCAAUGCACCUUCUGUGGAUGAGAAGUUUGAAUUAUUGGGCAUGUAAGUAAUUUUAUUUUGUACUAAGAUAUUGUUUGGCAUACCCUUUAAUUUACUUCUCACUUUUAAUUUCCAGCAUGGCCAAUGUCUUUAUUGUUGCUCCGGAGAGCUUGUCAAGUCUGUUUGAGGGUACUCCAAGUCUUCGGAAAGAUGCACAAAAGUAAGAGUGAUGCUGUUUACAAACUAUUUGUACCGUUAGAAACAAGCAAACUAAAAGGCUAUUACAAUCACAUAUGCAAAUACUGCGACCUAGGAGGAUAUAUAAUUGGAGUUCUAUGGGAUGAGAUUAAUAUUAAUAUUAACUUUUAACUGGAUGGUUUUCAGAUUCGUCCAGCUUAGAGAGGACUACAAAAGUGCAAAACUUGCUUCGAAGCUUAGCUCUCUGUGGCCCAGCUCUUAAUGCAUUUUGUGGUAUGGUUUUGACAAUCUAUGGGUAUUGGUACUUCAGCUUCAUUGCCCAGUUCACACCCAUCUGUGAGUUCAUGAUUACGAUGCCUUGUUCAAGACUUCAGGUCAAACAAAGUUAGAUACCUGUGGCUAAGUUUAUUCUGUGGAUAUAUAACUCCUUAGGUACAUUAUCAGGAAUAGAAAAUUACCUAUAAGUAUUACUAUGUGGCUAAGUUUAAAUUAUUAGUAUUUUUUACUUUAAAUUGUCACAACUUCCAAUUUUUCCCCGAGUGUACAUUUCUGCGACUAUAUAGGUUAUGAAUUAUUUCUAUCAUGUUUACUUUAAUGAGGAGUACUUGCCAUUAAUCGAAAAAACUUCUUGCAGCCUUGAAGGUGAAUUCUUCUUGUAAAAUGAUACUCCAUCACAAUUCACAAGUCAUAGAUGAUUGAUUUAAAUAUUGUUUGGCUAAGUUGAUGUGUUCUCAGAUAUUUUUUAGGCAAGAUGGUGUUUGCAAAAUAUUUUGUCAAUUUUUUUAUUGAGAUUUAAUAUUUUCCUUGCUUUAGUUGGAAAAUAUUAGUUUUAUAGACAAAACCAGGGCCAACAUAUAUAUAGCACCGGAAUGUCCUUUUUGCCCAUUGUAUAUUCACGAGGUUCCCCGUUACUGUGUGUUUGAAGGUGACAACCAGCAGCCAUCCUUUGUUAUCUUGUCACUGGAAUUUGAAAAGCAAAUGCAAUGAAUCUGAUUUUUUCUUUUGGUAACUUGUAGGAAUUAUCAUGUCCAGGAAAAUGAUAUCUUCCAAACUUAUUUAACAUUAUAAAUUUAUCAUUAGUUUAGACAUUUUACAUGUUUAUUUCUUUAUAGAUUUUUUGCACGUAAUUUAAGAUGUAAAAAAAAUCAUAUUUCUAUGUCUUAUCUUUAAAAUUCUUUUCAUGGAUAGAAGUUUAAGAUAUAUAAUUUUUAUUUGAGAAAAAAUUGAAAAACAGUAAGUAAUUUUUUUUAUUUCUUUUUUACAUUUGAAAUUACAGUGUAAGAAUUUACAAUGGCUAUUAUAUCGGAGGAAUGGAUGGAGUAAUUGAAAUAUGGUACUCCCUCUGUCCCUAUGGGGAUGUAUACGUUUAGAAUGGACAUGGAGAUGGAUGUAUACGUUUAGAAUGGACACGGAGAUUAAGAAAAAUGCAUAAAGUAGUAUAAAUUAAUGAGAAAGAGAAAGAAAAGUAAGGAAAGUGGCGGGACUGAUAAUAUUUAAUUGAUAAAUUUGAAAAAGUAGAUGGAGAUAGUGGGUGGGUGGGAAAAAUUUGAAAUGUAUAGAAUUGAAUGAGACAUCAAGUGUAUAGAGUACGUGCUUAGUGCUUGCCAAGAGCUUUGUAGUCUUUGUAAUAGUUUGUAUGCAAAUACUAUCGUUAUCUAGGAGUUGAAUUAUACCCUACAAACUCAAAAACAAUCUACCGUCUCAUCCAAAUCUCGCAUUAUUUAGUAAUUUAGUUUAUGAUUAGGAUGGAACAAGACUAGAAGAAGCAUUGUAGUCAAGAUCGGGAGAUGUUUGACUGACUGAGUGAAUGAAGUUCAGCGGAGUUGGCAAGUGUUGACCAGUGACCACUCAGUUCCAGGAGUACGAUGUUUGUCUUUUACGAGUUUUGAUCAUAAUGAACUCUUCCGUUUAACUGAGGGUUUUUCCGCUCAUGAUACAAAAUAAUACUAGUACUAUUUUUAAUUUAGAUAGUACGUAAUAGAUUUUUUAUUAUCAAAUUUAUUUUUUAUUCAGAAAUAUCAUUAUUAAUAGAUUGAAAUCAAUAAAAUCCAAUUUCCUUAUAACCAUUAUUAUGUGUUCAUAAAAAUACACAAAAAAUCAUUUAAACUGUCAUAAUAAAAUCUAAUCUGAUAUUAGAAAUCUCAAUAAAGAACUUUUGGUCCUUAGCUAAAAAUAAUUAAAAAAAUGUUAUGAAUUAAAAAAUAGAUAUUAUAUAAAAAAAUCAAAUCUAAUUGAAUAUUCUUCUCGUAUACCGUUUUAGUCAAAUUCAUAUUAGUUAUAUUUGUCAAAAUUUUGAAACUCUAAAAUCUAUUUAUAAAUUUUGCAUCAUUUCAUAUUAAAAUGAUAUAUUUUAUUUAUAAUAUUAUACAAAAAUAAAAAAAUAUCUUAAUAAUUGUUACAGUUAAAAAUAUUAAUGAUUAAUUAAUAUUAUAUUCAAAACUACUUAUUAUAUAUAAAUUUAGAUAAUCAAGAAUAUUAUUUAUAAAUUAGAUAAAACGUCAUGAUAGUUACUCCAAUCCUGCCAUAGAACCUAACUUUACAGGUAAUAUAACUUAGGUUGGCUUGAUAUAUAGUUGGAAUAAAUUAAAACUUGGUCCUGAGGUUUAGGCUGCAGAGAUGAGGUGGUAGUUGUGGUGGCGAAUAAGCCCCGCUAUAGUUGUGUGUGUAGAUAUUAUAUACACAUGACUUUAUGGAUUACAAUGAUGAUAAACAGGACCAGGAAGUGAAAAAAGAAAAGGAAAACCAAUGGUGCUAUUUUGCCUACAUAUAUACUAGUGCUUGUCCAUAAACCCCCAUUCAUUUGCAACGUGUAGUCACUACUUUUUGUAAUCACCACAACUUCUAACUCUCACAAUCACCAAUUCUCUGCCCUCUCAUACUAGGACUAGGAACCACUUUCAUUACAUGUACUCCCCAUCUCCUAUAGUAUCAUUACUUGAUGGGUGCAUAUUACAAACACAACAACACAUCUCACUAGAACUUGUGUGUUUUGUCUGCCUUUGGUUAGUUGUACUGUAUCGGACCAAUACGUGUCUAAGUAUCCGACUUGAGAGCACCUAAUUUUUUCAUUUUUCAUAUAUUGAUCUCAAAAAAUAAGUUUUUAGUGUUCAAUGAUCUGUAGUUAAUUAAGUGUCCGACAAGUGUACACGAGACCGAGGAGAGUCCAACACUGUCAUGUGCAUGUUGGAAGCAGAAGGCAAAUAGAGAGAUGGGGAAGACACAUUUAUUCAAGCAGUAGUGAGAAAGAAUGGCCCAUAAAUGGGUCCUAAUUUUUUAAAAAAAGAAACACUUCACACCCUUCAAAUUACAUUCUUCAUGCUCUCCACCCAUAUGUACAAGAAUCUUAGAACUAAACUAUUUGACUUUCUACUUCAUCUAGUCCUUGUUUUAUAGUGCAUAUGUAUAUAAUACUACUAUGAAUGUUGGCAUACAUAACUAACCAUUGUCAAUGUCUUCAACUUCAAAGCCUCAGUUCUGGUCAUUACAUUUCAUUGUUUUGACGUUUGCUUUUGAACUCUUAUCUUGCCAAGUACUACCAACAAACAUGUAAAACAGUUCAUUUGACUGUGAAAUAUAUUUAUUUGUUUAAUAUUCAUGUUACACAAGUUUAAUUGGAGCAACUUAAUGUUAAAAAUGCAAGACAUAACAUAGUCAAAUGAUUAUUAUUUUAAAUGUAAAGUGUAAUUAUGUCUAAAUAAAGUCAAUCACUAGAGGGUAAAAACUCAUGACAUGUGUUCUGUGUUAAGCAUAGUUUACCAAAUGAAAAAUAAAAUAUAGAUCAAUUUUUCUAAUUAAUGUUGAAUAGAGCAUAGUACAGUGUGCUCCCUACCAACUUCACAGGAGUAAAAUAAAUCUAAGCUACAUAAAUGGAGUAUGUGUAACUAUAAUAAUGUGAAGUGCCAAUACCCUGGUAGCGGCCUUCAAGUCUCCUAUUUCAUCGUAGCAUAAUAAUUUAGAGUGCCAAACAUGUCACUAAUCAAGAAUUAAGGACGGCCAUAAAAAAAGAUUAUUCGUAUCAAUGAUUCAGAACUUCAGAUAAGCUUAUCAACUUAUUACUAUUUGAUCAUAUAAUUUAUUCUAUAUAUUAAGAUAUUAUUACUAAGAACUAAGAAGUAGCGUAAUUUUACUCGGAAGAGAAUAAAACAAAAUUAAUAGCUAUGACUUAAAGAAAAACACUCAAUUUCCUUCCUUCAUUUUUAAUUGUUAAUCCCAGUUUUGAUUGUCUGGGCCAAAAUAUAAAUUUUACUAGUGUGUGUGAUGUUAGUUACCAUCUUAUUAUAAAAAAUGAAAACUGGACUUAAGUGAUAAAAUCACGGAACAAGGAUUAAUCCGGAAACUAAUAAGUUUGAUCGGAGAUUAAUCAGAAGAUCAAAUAAUCGAACAUUUAACCAGUUCGAUGAGUUACGAAAUCGAAGAUUAUCGUGAUUAAUACUUCACCUACUGCUGGAAUAAAAGUUACCGGCAUAAAACUGAUUAUUAUUACUUGAAAUAAGUAGAAUCAGAUCCUGAACGGAACGAAAAAGUCAGAUGGUUAUUAUUUACAAGUCAGAACAUGCAUGGAUCAACACGGUCCUGAGGCUUCACGUUUCCUACCAACAACUUAUAAUAUACAAGUUCGGUGCUUGCACCACUUGUCAUUUUUGCGUAUUUUAUAUUUCAGUUUGGAUCAUCUAUUCUACCAAAUUUUGUACCUCGACUGUUUCUGAUUAAAUAAUUAUACUCCUAUAUGGUUUCGUUGUCAAAAACGCAGGACUGCAAAGUACAUUUAUAUGAUGCGGAAAUAAAUGGUACGGUUUUCUUGAAUAAAAAAGAGAUAGCUUCGAUAUAUCCUCUGUCCCAACAGAUUUUUUACGCUAUUUUUUAAAACGUAUUUUAAAAUUCCUAUAAAUAUAAUUCUAUAAUAUAAAAUAUAUGAUUAUAUAGGCAAAUGCUCAAAUGAGAACCCCAACUAGUGUGAGAUAUGAGAUCUAAUCUCAGUCACACAUUUUUAUCCCUAAAUUAAAUCACAACCACACAUAUAAGUUUCUAUUUUAUCCUUCAUCUCUUUCAUCCACCACUUUACCCACCCCUACCAACACCCAUCCACCACCAACACCACCCACCGCCACCACCCACCAACCGCCCCCGUCGUUGCUUCACCUCCGGCAGUCACCUCGCCGGAACACCACCACUAGUCUCUCUCUCCUUCUCCUUCUCGCCCCCUCUCUCUCAGCACGUCGCCGUUACCGGUACGGCCUGAGUUCUGGCCAUCCCCUUUCCUCACGCCUUCAUCUCUCUUCGUUGUUAUCACGAUCUCCGUAAUAUAUGCUCAGAUCUGCAAAAGUCGUCGGUGGUGAUUUUUUAUUGUACAGCGGUGAUUUUUUGUUGGUUUUUGUCGAUUUGUAAUGAUUUUUGGUCAGUUUGACUUUCGCCCGGUGAUUAUGUGGCGGUGGUUGUGUGUAGAUUGCGGUGGUGGUAUGAAGAUGGUGGUGAAGGCGGAAGAGGCAGUUGUGAUGGUUAAUGGUGGUUGUGGCGGAUUUUGUUUGACUAUGGUGAUUUUUACUCAGAUCUGGUGAUUUCUGCAUGAAUAUGGUGAUUUUCAGGCGGUGGGCAGUGUGGUGACCAGAGGAGGUGGUGGUGUGGUGGUUUGCUUCUGGUGAUUUUUCUGUUGACAGUGGUGAUUUUUGACUUUCGGUGGUCGAAGUCGGUGAUUGGCGGUGGCCGGAGGUGAUGGUUGGAAUAUGAAGAAGAUGAAGGUAGGUGAUGAGGAUGUGGGUAAAAUUAAUGAGUGAUGAUGGAUGUAGAUGGGAUUUUUAAAUGAGUGGCUAGGAUUAGAUCUCACAUCUCACAUUAAUAUUGGUUCUCACUAGAGCAUGACUCUAUAUAUAUAAAAAGGAGGAUGCGGACGUCUGUAGAAUUGUUUGAUUCAGUAUUCUGAUUUUUCUUAAAUUUCGGAUAGAAACUAUAAUUAUAAUUCAAAAAAUCAGGUUCAAGAAUUCUAAAAAUAAUACAAUUCUUUUUAAGAAUUCUGAAGAUAAUAUAAUUCUUUUAUUGUUGGAUAGAAAAUAUAAUUAUAAAUUAAAAAUCUGGUCUAAGAAUUCUAAAGCUAAUACAAUUUUUUUUAUUGGAUUCCAGAGAUUAUCUAAAAAUUAAAUUUCUUAAUUUUAAAAUAGAAUACAAAUUAAAUUAAGAAUUUUUCGAAUAUUGUGAAGGCUGAGAUAUAACCUUCAAAAAGACUAAAAGAAGAUAGAAGUAAGUUUUUGUCUUCACAAGCAGCAAAAACAAUCGUAAUGCCAAGGAAAGAACAGUUUUUGAUGAACACAGUUCGUCAGGCUUUAAGUUCAAUCCUAGAAAAGAUUUCACUAUCCACGGAAUACACUCCAUGAACAACACCUGCAAACAAAAGCCGCAAGAUUUCUUUGUAUGAAUUAAUCUUCAAGCUUAUUUUCGUGAGAAUGCAGUCUGGACUUUGCGGUAAAAUUAUAAUUCAAAAAAUCAGGUUCAAGGAUUCUAAAAGAUUGUAAUACAAUUUCAAUGAGUCUCUAGAAUUGUUCGAUUCGGUGUUAUAAUUUUUCUUAAAUUUCAGAAAGAAAUUGUAACUAUAAUUCAAAAAAAUAAGGUUUAAGAAUUCUAAAAAUAAUAUAAUUUUUUCUUAUCGGAUUCUAAAGGUAAUAAUCUAGAAUCUAUUAAAAGGAUUCUAAUAGUAAUACAAUUCUUUUUCAUAUUAAUUCAGAAAUCAUAAAAUAAUACGAUUCUUUUUGCAAGAGGGUACAUGUAAGUCGUUUCGGAGAAAACUAAAUAACGUGAUUACAUAAAUUCUUUGGACAAGAAAAGAUAAAACAAGCAGUUAACCACAAUAUGAUGCUUGCCAAAGCGGUCUGAAAAUAAUUUUCUUAAAUUUCGAAUAAGAACAUAAAAUUAUGAUCUAAAAAUUAUAGACAAGUACAAUUUAGAAAAAUUAAAUCUUAUUUUCAAAAGUUAUAAAAUUUAUAUUCUUAUUUGAUUAAUUUUUACAAAUUAUAUAUCUAAAAAAAUAUAAAGGAAAAUGCAGUACGGUGAUGUGGUGUCUAGAAACCCUCCGUUUAAUUUUUGUUAUUCUUUGAGAAAAAAAUAUGUAAAGUAGCUAAAAAAUAGUAGUCGUAAAAGGGAUAUAAUUCUUUAUAUUUAUUUAUUAAUUAUUGGACUUCCGUAAAACUGUUCACUCGUAACGAGGUGGCAAAUUUUCUUCCCGGAAGUUUCAACAAAACUCACCUUUAGCCUAAUUUGAAUAUUCCGGACAUUUUUCGUGUUUUGACUUUUUCGAUCCGGAGUACGGUUUUCCCCGGAGUCGGUCCGGCGGAGUUUUCGGGUAUUUUAAUUGUCGAUAAUUAUCCAGUUUGUCUCGAUAAACGUGAACCGAGAUAUUUUCUUCAUCCUUAUCAUGUAAUAAUUGCAGUGGGACCCGCAGACCAAUAAUUGAGUUAAAAAGCCCCGUUUUGAUGAUUAUCUUGAAAACUAGUACCGAUUGGACCCCACUUUCUUAAUAUAAAGCUAUUAAAUACGUAUUUUCAUGUCAUAAACGAUCCAAAGGGGUACCAAUUAUUUGUAAAUAUAAAUAUACCUUUCUAGAGCUUAUUUUCACCCGUAAAAUCAUUUCACCAGUUUCUCUGCACGAAUACCGAGAGAAACCGAGCGGUGUUCUUCGUGUUCUUCGUAAUCAAACGUGGAUUUGAAGGCGUUAUUGGAGUCAGAAUCAAGCGUGCGAAUAGUCAAAUCGAAGAUAUUGAAGAGUAGAACUCAAAUCAAGCAUCAAAAACAACCUGAGAUUCACAGGUAGGGAGUAAUUGAAGUUUUAAAAUUCGAAUUAUUAUGAUUUAAAUAGUGAAUUUUUGAAAACGUGUUUGUUUGAUGGUUUUGAUGAUUCCAUGUUGUAGAGCGUGUUUUUCUCGUCGUUUUGGUAUAUUAUAUGUUGAAUUUUGACUUCCAUAACAUAGAGAAAAGUCAGUUUAAUCUUUGAAAAGUCAUGUUCUUGGUGUUCUUGAGGAGUUCGCCGGAAUAUUUGAGUUUUUCGCCGGCAAAUCGUUCUGAUGAUUCUGGGUAGAAGCUGAGCAUACCAUUUGAUAGAUCGUAGCUUGUAGAAUCUGUUGGUAGUGUCCAAUCGUGCAAAGGGGCGGUGGAAACGUCGCCAGAAUCUGUAUUUUCAAGUCGGCGGCGGAGCUCUUUGGCUCCAUUUUCCGGCUUACUCGGGGGUUGGAUGUGAGUUCUGAAACCAGGAAUGAACUCCUGACGUUGUGCAGAUUGUUUGGUGUUGAUUUGGUGGGUGGAGGAAGCCGGGAGAGUAAUCUCCGGCGAAUCGGGGCGGUGGCGGCGGAAAAUAUCCGUUUGCACCCCCCAACUUUUGGAGAUGGUGACUUUGAGGCACCCAGGUUUUCAUUCUUUCAAAACAAACCCUGAUAGUUUCAGUUUUUACAAAUUAGACCCUGUGACCAAGUUUCAAAAUCUUACAGAAUAAACCUUUUCAUUUUGGAAAUGUUUUUAAUUAUUUUUAAUUAUUUUGAUUUUCAAAAAUAGUUUUUAAAUUAUUUCUUUACUCAAAAAUAAAUCUAAUUUGAUUUAUUAAUUAAUUUUAAUUAGUAAUUAAUUAUUUUAAUUAAUUAUUAAUUGAUUUUAAUUGAUUAAUUAAUUGGACUUAAUUAUCCUUUUUACUUUAAUCAAAUCGAAAAAUAGUUUCGAGCUUUAAAAUAUUUUUCCAAAUUAUUUUCAAGGCUCGAUAAUUAUUUAUGAAUGAUUUCAAGUCCAAUUUCAAGUAUUUGGGACUUGAUUAUUUAUCUGAAAAGUGAUUCUUUUAUCGAUUUUAAUUCCGAAAAAUGUUUAAAAAUUACAGAAAUUUCCCGAAAAAUCAUUUUGAACUCAAGAUUUGAUUUGACCUCUAUUGGGGUGGGAAACCUUAUGUGUAAUGUGUUGUCUGCUAUUGGUUGGAUGUCUUAUGUGUCGAUAUAAGAGUGAGAAAACGGUUUUAAACAUAUCUUUUGAUCCGUAAGUCGGAAUCGAGUGAAACGAAAGAGAGAUGAAAGCUUAUAAAGUCUAGUUUGAUAUGACAUAAUAAUAUGAUGGAGUCGAGAAUGUGAAUAAUUGUUGUGAAAUGUGCAAUGUGAUUAUAUGUUAUUUGAUUGCUAUUAAUUGAUGAUUACAUGAUAUACAUGUUUAUUCAUGAUAGUAUACACGUGUGAUAAACGAUUUGGAUGACAUAGUUUUGUGUAAUGAUCGAUAUUGGAUAAGAAUAUAUGAAUUAUAGUGAUUGGAUUUGGUUGGUUGAUGGUUGAUUUAGAUAAGAUAACAGGUGGAUAGUCUAACAAAUAGACGAAACGCUGCCAAAUUAUCGAUAUGAUUUAUAUGAUAAUUGAUUUGUGAUAUGUUAUGUGGAAUAUGACUUGACUAUAUGGUAGAGUCAAAGCAUGAUUACGUGUUAAGUGAUAUGUGAUAAGUUUAAAGGGGUAUAUAAGUGGGUAUCGAUAUACGUGAUAUGUAUAUGCGAUAUAUUGUUUAGUGACUAUAGUAUUAUCUUAUUUUCGUAAAGGAUUUGGAGGAGACGUNNNNNNNNNNNNNNNNNNNNNNNNNNNNNNNNNNNNNNNNNNNNNNNNNNNNNNNNNNNNNNNNNNNNNNNNNNNNNNNNNNNNNNNNNNNNNNNNNNNNNNNNNNNNNNNNNNNNNNNNNNNGAGGAGACAGAGUUGAGGAUCCAGUGGUCAGGGAGUGGUGAGGAAAGUUGAUGAGAUUGGUGCAAGCUGGAAUAGUUGACAGUGAUUCUUCUUAUCGAAGAUGAUCUGACUUGGUAAGAAAUAUUGUAUAGUAUUAGUGGUGGAUUCUAAUUUCAAUACUGUAACCUGGAAGCGAUCCUGUUGUUUUGGGGGUUAAAUGUUCUCUUAAAAUUUUCUUAUUAUGGUUUUCAAGUUUGAAAUUCAGGUUUUGAAAUCAUUUGAUUUAUGUUCUCAUUCAAAGUUUUUAUUAAAUGUUUUCAAGUUUUAAAUUCUUUUGGAUUUUCAUUAUCUUUAAAUGAAAAUACCAGGUUUCAAAAGUAUUUUAAAAAGGGUUUUGUGUGGUGACGUCAGAAUCCAGACCCCCGGAUUCUCGGACUGUCACAGUUGGUAUCAGAGCAACAGGUUACAAGUUAUUGGAAUUUGAAUAUAGAUUAUAGUUUUAAGUUCUAUUGAUGAGGAAUGUUGUGUAACCUCACAUAGAGGUAUUGUGAGACUAUCUGGAAAUAGUCUAGAGAUGUGUCAGGAUUAGAAUCUAGUUAGAUGAUUAAGUUGAGUGUAUAAGUUUAGAGAGAUUUUGAUUCUUAAGUUUAGACAUAGGAUUUCUAGUUGAUUAGGAUUCUUAAGUUUAGACAUAUGAUUUCUAGUAUGUUGAUUAAUUGAGAUGGUGAAUUGUGGGAAAGGUCAGUAUUAGACCAAUAUAGAAGAGUUUGAUAGUGAAUGAUUGAAUUGAGAAUGGUGAAAAUGCAGAGUCAUAGUAUUCUGACUAUACUGCAUAUUUGAAACUGGAUUAUUGUAUUGAUUUGAGGAUGAUAUAAAUGCAUGGUUCAUAGUAUGUUGACCAUGUUGGAUAUUUGGAAAAGUAUAUUGUUUUGUGAGAUAUGAAGAGUUAGUGUAAGAUAUGAGUUGUACUGAAUCAGAAGGAGAGAUUUAUAGAUAGAGGUGGAUAGGUGAGAAGUGAAUGAUAGAGAGUAUGUGGAGUUGAGUCCAGCUAUUAGAGGUAAUGUCUGCGAAUAAGUUAGAACGUUAGUCCUCGACGACAACGCUUCGAGCUAAUCGGGGUUUCAAAUGGCAUCAAGGUGGGCCCAUAACCCACAGGUUGAUGAUCCAGACAAUCGAAUAUACAAUACCUAUCGAAGAUACGUUACGUGUUUGUGCUAUGGAUUUCAAAGGCAACUGGGAUAAAGUAGAAGAAUGUAAAUUACAUGGGCCAGAGUUAUUACGGACGAUAACGUCUACGAUGACAUCUUACGAGGCUAUUACGAGUCAAAUCGAUUGAUUAUCGAGAACGUUGAAAGGAUGACAUAAAUCGAAUAACGAUUUCGUAAAGUAGAGUGGGAAUUUGAGAAGACCUUGGCAAUACCUCUCUUCAACUAAAGAUUCUUUUGAUUAUUUUCUCAUCAGUGAGAUAUUAUCAUGAUAUCUUUUCUACAAAAGUUUUGAUAAAUGAGAUCUUCAAUUUCUCAAAUUCUAAGAUGACAUUGAUAUUGAUUAUUGGUAUGAGUUGGAAAGCAAAGAUGUGUGAUAAAGGUUUGUUGUGAAGAGAUAGUGAUGUUCCUUGAUAUUGUUUGACAUUUCUUGACAUUCCUUGAUACCCUUUCAUCUUCCUUGAUAUCCCUUGAUGUUCUUUGAUAUCUUUGAUAUUCCUUGACAUUCUUUGAUAUUCCUUGACAUUUAUUCAAUUUGAUUGGGAUGAACAACCCUAUUUAUAGGGGACACAAGGUAUACCUGUCUGUGUGAUAGGAGUUGGAUGGGACGCCAUCACUUGUGUGUGUUGUGAUUACAAGAAGGUUAACAACCUUUAGUAGUGUCUAAUAUGGACACGCAACAUUAAGUUCAUUUGAUCUUAUUGAUCUCCCAGUCACUCUUGUAUUCCAAUGUGACCUAUUUUGAAAAUAUCUUGUUCCUCCGAAAUUCCCAAAGAUUGAUUCUUGGGAAAUGAAUGUUGCAAUCGCGAAAGUUUGACUUUCCUUUUCCAUUAAAGUUAAAGGUAUGCCAAGAUCAAUCAAAGGUGGAUGACGAUAUGAUAUUACGAAGUGUGUACGUUUUAGUUUCUUCGGAGGAUUCCGAGGACGGAAUCCUUAUAAGGGGGGUAGAAUGUAAUAUCCCAUAUUAUUAAAUUUAGAUUUGAUUAUUAUAAAUCUAUUUGUCUAGAUAUUAUUGUUGGCUCUAGUUGAAUAUUGAUAUGAUUAUGUGAAUAGUUGUAUGUGAUUAUACUUGUUAUGUGGAUUAAUAUGGAUUUUACAGAUUAUGCGUCCUCCUUCUUUCUCUGAUUCCGAGGACGGAAUCCCUAUAAGGAGGGUAGAUUGUAAUAACCCGGA
rnacentral:lncRNA from 1 species